rnacentral:rRNA from 1 species
GUGGGGAAUCUUCCGCAAUGGGCGAAAGCCUGACGGAGCAACGCCGCGUGAACGAGGAAGGUCUUCGGAUCGUAAAGUUCUGUUGCAGGGGACGAACGGCACUAUAGCCAAUAAGUAUAGUGAAUGACGGUACCCUGUUAGAAAGCCACGGCUAACUACGUGCCAGCAGCCGCGGUAAUACGUAGGCGGCAAGCGUUGUCCGGAAUCAUUGGGCGUAAAGGGAGCGCAGGCGGAACAUUAAGCGGAUCUUAAAAGUGCGGGGCUCAACCCCGUGAUGGGGUCCGAACUGAGGUUCUUGAGUGCAGGAGAGGAAAGCGGAAUUCCCAGUGUAGCGGUGAAAUGCGUAGAUAUUGGGAAGAACACCAGUGGCGAAGGCGGCUUUCUGGACUGUAACUGACGCUGAGGCUCGAAAGCCAGGGUAGCGAACGGGAUUAGAAACCCUAGUAGUCC